rnacentral:rRNA from 1 species
GAUGAACGCUAGCGGCAGGCUUAAUACAUGCAAGUCGUGGGGCAGCAUGAGUGUAGCAAUACAUUUGAUGGCGACCGGCAAACGGGUGCGGAACACGUACACAACCUUCCUAUAAGUGGGGAAUAGCCCAGAGAAAUUUUGAUUAAUACCCCGUAACAUAAUGAUGUGGCACCACAUUAUUAUUAUAGCUUCGGCGCUUAUUGAUGGGUGUGCGGCUGAUUAGGUAGUUGGCGGGGUAACGGCCCACCAAGUCUACGAUCAGUAGCUGAUGUGAGAGCAUGAUCAGCCACACGGGCACUGAGACACGGGCCCGACUCCUACGGAAGGCAGCAGUAAGGAAUAUUGGUCAAUGGACGCAAGUCUGAACCAGCCAUGCCGCGUGAAGGAUUAAGGUCCUCUGGAUUGUAAACUUCUUUUAUCUGGGACGAAAAAAGGCGAUUCUUCGUCACUUGACGGUACCAGAUGAAUAAGCACCGGCUAACUCCGUGCCAGCAGCCGCCGUAAAAC